rnacentral:tRNA from 1 species
GGACGAUUAGCUCAGUUUGGAGAGCACCUUCUACCCUUUAUCACCCGCGCAGAAUCACUGGUUCAAGCCCAGUAUCGUCCACCA